rfam:Trabulsiella guamensis ATCC 49490 GTGT.assembly.036, whole genome shotgun sequence.
GAUGGCUGGUGGCGCACUUCCUGUUAACGGGCAAGUGUCGUACGUCUGCAAUCCGCAUACAGAUACCAGGCCCGCGUAUAAGCGGGCUUUUUUUU